rnacentral:rRNA from 1 species
AGUGAACGCUGGCGGUAGGCCUAACACAUGCAAGUCGAACGGCAGCACAGGGGAGCUUGCUCCCUGGGUGGCGAGUGGCGGACGGGUGAGGAAUACAUCGGAAUCUACUCUGUCGUGGGGGAUCACGUAGGGAAACUUACGCUAAUACCGCAUACGACCUACGGGUGAAAGUGGGGGACCGCAAGGCCUCACGCGAGUGAAUGAGCCGAUGUCGGAUUAGCAAGUUGGCGGGGUAAAGGCCCACCAAGGGGACGAUCCGUAGCUGGUCUGAGAGGAUGAUCAGCCACACUGGAACUGAGACACGGUCCAGACUCCUACGGGAGGCAGCAGUGGGGAAUAUUGGACAAUGGGCGCAAGCCUGAUCCAGCCAUACCGCGUGGGUGAAGAAGGCCUUCGGGUUGUAAAGCCCUUUUGUUGGGAAAGAAAUCCUGUUGGUUAAUACCCGGCAGGGAUGACGGUACCCAAAGAAUAAGCACCGGCUAACUUCGUGCCAGCAGCCGCCGUAA